rnacentral:snRNA from 1 species
AGAUGUGAGGGCGAUCUGGCUGUGACAUCUGUCACCCCAUUGAUCGCCACGAUUGAUUUGGCUGAUCUGCCUGGCGAGGCGAGUGUCCCUUUCCUCCCUUGACUCUCCAUGUACAUCCCUCCCGAAGCUGCGCGCUCAGUCAAAGAGGAAGACCACCCCGGACAGAGGACGACCGUUCCUUGGUCAAGGGCAUAGGAGUCGCUGCUCUUCCCUGCUAGAACCUCCAGACAAGCUCUCAAGGUGGUAUCAGUACAUCAGUCCCCACUACACACAAUGAGAAAGUUAGGAGCAUAUGGGCAGCCACAGCAGAGGAAUGACACAACCUGUAGUUUUAAUGAAACAUAUUUGCU